rnacentral:rRNA from 1 species
GGCUCAGGACGAACGCUGGCGGUAUGCUUAACACAUGCAAGUCGAACGAGACGAGAUGGAAGGAUCCUUCGGGUGACGGAAAUCUUAGAAAGUGGCGAACGGGUGAGUAACGCGUGGGUAACCUGCCCUAUGGAAAGGAAUAGCCUCGGGAAACUGGGAGUAAUGCCUUAUAAUACAUUGAAGUCGCAUGGCUUUGAUGUUAAACGCUCCGGUGCCAUAGGAUGGACCCGCGUCCCAUUAGCUAGUUGGUGAGAUAACAGCCCACCAAGGCGACGAUGGGUAACCGGUCUGAGAGGGCGAACGGUCACACUGGAACUGAGACACGGUCCAGACUCCUACGGGAGGCAGCAGUGGGGAAUAUUGCGCAAUGGGGGAAACCCUGACGCAGCAAUACCGCGUGAGUGAAGAAGGUUUUCGGAUCGUAAAGCUCUGUUAUUGGGGAAGAAAAAAGACGGUACCCAAGAAGAAAGUCCCGGCUAACUACGUGCCAGCCGCCGC